rnacentral:rRNA from 1 species
UACGGGGGGAGCAAGCGUUGUUCGGAUUUACUGGGCGUAAAGGGCGCGUAGGCGGCCACCGCAAGUCGACUGUGAAAUCUCCGGGCUUAACCCGGAAAGGUCAGCCGAUACUGCGGGGCUAGAGUGCAGAAGGGGCAACUGGAAUUCUCGGUGUAGCGGUGAAAUGCGUAGAUAUCGAGAGGAACACCUGCGGCGAAGGCGGGUUGCUGGGCUGACACUGACGCUGAUGUGCGAAAGCGUGGGGAGCGAACAGG